GGCAGUAUAAAACUAAACAUUUUCAUCACUAAAUAAAAAUACAAAUUUAUCGUCAUCUGACAUAUUACUAAAAUCAUGACAAAAAGAAUUAGCAUGACUAAACAACACAGCACGAACAUCUGCAUAUAGUGGACAUUUCAAAAUUACAUGUUUCUAAUCUUCAAUGGUAUCAUUACAACUAAAACAUAUUCUUUCAUUAAUAGGUAAGUUCUGAUACCGGCCCGUUUCAAUUUUUAGGGGCGCAACACCACAACGAAAUUUUGCAAAAGCACUAUAUAUAUGUGUGUGACGAAUAGAUAACAACUGUCAUAUUUCUGACUCAGUACUGGCAGUUUCCAGUUUUGAAAAUGGUGGAUUGAACCUGGUUUUAUAGCGCUUAAUCUCACACGUGUAUGACA
rnacentral:lncRNA from 1 species